CAGUCGCCGCGGUAAUACGAAGGGUGCAAGCGUUAAUCGGAAUUACUGGGCGUAAAGCGUGCGUAGGCGGUGAGUUAAGUCUGCUGUGAAAUCCCCGGGCUCAACCUGGGAAUGGCAGUGGAUACUGGCUCGCUAGAGUGUGUCAGAGGAUGGUGGAAUUCCCGGUGUAGCGGUGAAAUGCGUAGAGAUCGGGAGGAACAUCAGUGGCGAAGGCGGCCAUCUGGGACAACACUGACGCUGAGGCACGAAAGCGUGGGUAGCAAACAGGAUUAGAUACCCCUGUAGUCCCUGUCUCUUAUAC
rnacentral:rRNA from 1 species